rnacentral:lncRNA from 1 species
AAUCAAAGCCAAACCACUGGCCAAUCGGCCGAAAAACACCACCAAAGUCUAGCGGCACUGCCGCGGCUUCCUUCGAUUUUUGCCUCUGAUGAGGCCUUUUUUGGUUCCCGUUUGAUGCAAUUUUUACACCACUGUGAUCACCAUUCGUUUCUCUACAGGUUAACCGGAGUAAAACAUCAAACCACGACUCGCGCCGGAGAAGCCGCCGCACCCGAGAGCUCUGCCACAAGUAAGUCUCAGUUUUUUGUUAUUUUUUAGCCCACCAAGGGCUUUAGGGUUGUUUUAUCACAGGAACAAAUGCAAGUUUAGCCGAAUUCGGCCGAAAACGACCUAAAACGGCCAACUCGAGGCAAAUCACUGCCACAGGCAGCGGUGUCGUCGCUGGAGCACGGCGAAACCGUCGUGCCAGAAUUCUGAUAUUGACCAAAAAGGGGCCUUGGGUUUGAUUUGGGGUUUUUGGAACACGUGCAGGUACCGGUAGUGCGUUUCAGUUUCCCGGAAAAAAUUCAGGGAAUUUAGGGACAGCCCGUAGGCGCACUGUAGAGCCGAUUUCAGACCCCGAAACAAGUAAAGAUCUCUCACCCUAUUUCCUAUCAUG